rnacentral:rRNA from 1 species
UACGAAGGGGGCUAGCGUUGUUCGGAGUUACUGGGCGUAAAGGGCGCGUAGGCGGCUGGUCAAGUCGGGUGUGAAAGCCCGGGGCUCAACCCCGGAAAUGCACUCGAGACUGAUCGGCUUGAGGACGGGAGAGGAUAGUGGAAUUCCCAGUGUAGAGGUGAAAUUCGUAGAUAUUGGGAAGAACACCGGUGGCGAAGGCGGCUAUCUGGACCGUUUCUGACGCUGAGGCGCGAAAGCGUGGGGAGCAAACAGG